CCCCUACCAGCAGUCACCUGGUGAGCCUCCUUGAGGAUAACUCGUCCGGAGAUAUCUGGCCUGGGCAGCAGCGGGAGCCAGACUUGGCAUUCUGGGGAUACCCGGAGGAGGGAACUUCUUUCCUAAUGGCCUGUCUGCACUAGACGGGGGGCUCACAGACUGGCCCGGCUUCCUGCCUGCAGUGCCCAGCUGGUGGGGGAUACACGAAGUAUACUGCAGUUCUACGUGUGGAUGGCUGUGUCAGGGGCCACGGGGGCUCAGGAGGAACCGCUCUGUGGGUGCUGGUAUCCCAGAUUGUUCCUUAGUCCAUCCUUCCAAGAUGUAUAUCACUUGCUUGGCAAGCGUCUGGAGUUGGACAAGACCCUUUGAACCUGGUUAGAAAUCCUGUUUUUACAACAGUUCCUCAUACAGCUGGCAGCUGGCGGAUGAUAAGUGGGAGAGCUCUGUGUGUGACUGCUGCGACUUCAGCUGUUCCCAUCCACAAAGAGGCCGGCACCGCGG
ensembl:lncRNA